AACAAACAAUAGACACGUUCUUUUUAGCUUGCACCGCUGCAUUGGUGCAACAAGUUUAAGUGAGAUAAAUAUACCUUUUCUCAUUCGAACUUACUGCACCAAUGCAGUUGUGCAGCGAAAAAGAACAGACCAAAUACUCAUCCCGUGCACAUGCAUAGUACCAGAAAGAAAUCUGAGGUCCGUUUUUUUUUCGCUGCACUGCUGCACCGGUGCAAUAAGUUAAAAUGAGAAAAAAUAUAUUUGUCUUACUCUAACCUGUUGCACCAGUGUAGAGAAAAAAAACAAGUCACUGGUUCAAUGCUGGUUUCUCUCUAGUAGUACUUUUUUUUUUGAAUACUGCUACUUCUAUGCUGUGCUAUGCCGCAAUACUGCAUUGAUGAUGAUAUUACAUUUGUCGCGCAUGCAAGAAAAAAUCCGGCAACGAUCAGCAACACUGGCGCACUCUUGCAUAGCAACAAAGAAUGAAAUGGCUCAGAAUCUGAGCCUCAGAUGACUUGUGUGUUGAUCGGCUCGAUCGGCCAUUGAAACGAAACGAUGUUACCUGAUUUUCUGCGAAUAUGGCAUUUUUAUUUUUGGCUCUGAGCCAUCCAGCGAUGCUAAACAAUGUUGGGCAAUGAGUAAAAUUGAAUUGAUAGUCUGUAGAAAAACGUCUCAAAUUUAACUCUGAAGGGGGAAAAAAAGAGGUUAUGUAGGGAAGGACACGAGAAAUUUUUUUGUAAUUCAUGAUAUAUUUUAAUUCUUGAAGAUAAACGCGGGUAAAUGUUAGAGGCUUGAAGCAUCUUUUUCAUGACUUGUGUACGCCUACUUUCUCGUUUCGAGUGCGUAUCUGCAUACACGUGUGAAAGAUGAGCGUAUGUUCUGCCGGCAGAACAUUUCAACACUGAAUGGAUGAAAAUUGGGAUCGUUUGCGCAAUAUAUAUUCGACUAUUUUUACUUUAGUGCUCAAUGCUUAAAGCAUUAUUUUAUCUUCGUUGCUUAUCAAAUAUUAAAAAAAAAUUAAUGAAGUUUAAAAGUGCUGUAAAAUAACGCGAAGCAAAUGUCUGCAUUGUAUUCGGGAAUCAGGUAAUUUGAGAUGAUGGGUGCAUUGUGAAUGCAUAGUAUGUGAAACGUGAACUUUACAGAUUUUCAGUAUUGUAAGUGAAUUUUAAAAUGCAUCCCAUGUGACUUCAGUCAAAAUUUCACAUUUCACAAAGUGAAAUAUAAAUGACUUGUCCUUUUUUUACUUUCAACAAUAGUGUAUACUAAUUUUAACAUCAGUUUAACUUGCAUAAUCUUUUUCCAAUUAUUAGAUUAUACAUAAGAGAAAAAAUUAUAUAUAUUUUUUACUGAUAUAUUUUCUAUCUGUAUAAUUUUAUGUUCUUCAUGGUUAUUGAAAUCUGCAUGGAUUUCAGAGUCACAAUCAAAUUGCAUUCAUUUAAAUAACACCAAAGAAAUUAUGCAAUUUGCAAUAUACAAUUACAUAUAUUUCAAACAUUAUUAGAUUACAUUAGUGACAUAGUAUUACGAAUCAUAUAUGAACUAAAAAAAAAGAAUAAACUUCUCUAAAGGAUUUAUUAUUUAAGGCUGCUUUCCUUUUAGGGAACACAAUUGACACAAGCAUUGUUCUAUCUUUUUUUAUGUUCAAUAAGUAACAAAGAUAGAAUGAUAUUUGUGUCGAUUGUGUUCCCUAAAAGGAUAACAGCCGAAAUAUAUAUGUGUGUGUGAUACACUUUUGCAAAUAUAUUCCAUUAUAAUUGACACACUGCUAUAUACUAGUAACUAGACACACAAUUUAUUAUUUUUAAGGUAUAUUAUUCUAAGUUUGUAAAUACAAUCCAAAUUUAACUUAUUGAAAUAAACCGACAUAAAAAUGG
rnacentral:lncRNA from 1 species